rnacentral:rRNA from 1 species
CGGUAACAGCUCAAAUUUGAAAUCUGCCUUCUGGCCGAGUUGUAAUUUGUAGAGGAACGUUCGGCUUCGUCUAGGUCCGAGUCUUCUGGAAGGGAGCGCCGAUGAGGGUGAGAGCCCCGUACGACCGCCGACUUCGCCAUGUGAACGUCCUUCGAA